rnacentral:snRNA from 1 species
AUACUUACCUGGCAGGGGAAAAUCACGAAGGUGGUUUUCCCAGGGUGAGGCUGAUCCAAUGCACUGGGGACCCGCUGACCCCUGCAACUUCCCCACAUGGGGGAAACGCGGCUGCAUAGUUUGUGUUGGUGGUGGGCUGUAUCCAUGCUUUCCCCCA